GGCUAGAGCAGUACAGAGACUUGUACCCAUGCUUAUUGGAGAGGCAAUUGUAAGAAAGCAAGCCUUGGAUUAGUUUGUGAAGUGGGCCUCCGCUGUCGAACUUACUUUGUCUUGUGUGGUUCAGUUCUAAGUGUCUGGACAAAAGUAGAAGGAGUUUUAGCCUCUGUGAGUGGUACAAAUGUGAAAAUGCAAAUAGUUCGGCUAAGAGCAGAGGACGGACAGAGGAUUGUAGGUUUGCUCAUUCCUGCAAAUUGUGUAUCGCCCCUUGUAAACCUUUUGUCAACAUCAGACCAAUCUCAACAACUUGCAGUACAGCAGCAGCAGAUAUGGCAACAGCAUCACCCACAGAGCAUCACCAACUUCAACAAUGCAUAAGAGGACAGACUACGGUAUUGACUUUACUAUUCAAGAAAAGGCUGUAAAAGCAUAUCACUUCCAUAAAAAUCAGGGGCAGAUUCCAAAGAUAUAUAACUUUUUUUUUUCCAGUACAGUUGUAUGUUCUCAAAAGUACUCUGGGAAUAAAAAGGUACACAAAGGAUGGUAGAACUGAAAGCCAGCAGUUGCUUAUGGUGGUGCAUCUGUCUGCUCUCGGUGGAGCUUCCUGUUUGCUUUUACUUUUGGCCUUUUAAGCCACAAACCACAAUUAGUUUGAAAAUGCUUGAAAAUUCCCAAACAGGCUUUAUUUUUAUUUAUCUUGUCAUACAGUGCUCAGGGUUUAACACAGUAUACAUUGAUGCCAUUACUGUGGAAGAUAACAUUGAGUGCAUAUAUAUAUAUAGAAAAUAUAUAUUGGGUUUUUCUCUUCAACUUAUAAGUUUAUAUAAGCAUGAAAACUAGAGAUUGCGCAUCAUGCGUUCAUUCAGGUUCCUUCCCAGUUUGUUUGACAGUGCAUGUCAUUGGAAACUGGCAUGAACAGGGUAAAUACCCCAGGCAAGAAUUUGGAAAGAAACAAUUGUACAGCAUUGGUUAUUGCAUUUUUAUAGUUCUCUCAUGGAGAUUAUAUAUUUGAGUCUGCAACAUGUUUUUUUGUUAUAAGCAUCUUAAAUUAAAAAGUUACUUGAUUUUAAUAAUGGUGUUCCUAAUGUGUAAGGCAAAGGUGGCUAAAAGCCUUUCCUUUAAAAUUAAAAUAUUUCUUUAAUGUGAGCUGACCAUGGAAACUAAGUGCAAAUUCACUUGCAUCUCAUACAAUCUUAUAUUUUUAAUUCAUUAAUGUAAUUUAAUUUGUCAUUUGUAAAAUGAAACCUUAGGUGAGCUGUAAAUCAGACAAUGAGAAACUCUCGAGGGUUCCGCUAUAUGUGCUGUUUCUGUUACCCAGUAACUUGAAUACUGUUAAACUCUACAGUGUCUUGCAACAUAUAUUUAUCUGGAGCUGUUUAAAAGAAAGAAAUUAAUGUAUAAAUGUGAAUAGUCACUUAUCUAUAAUAUGGGUAAGGUUUUUGUUUUGCAUAUAAUAGUAGAUGUUUAUAAGAAAGUGAAGGACAAUGUUUGUCAUUUCUUGCUUGCACAGGUUGCACUAUUGAAAAAUUGAGAUUGUAUAAACCUGCCCAAAAAACUACAAGAUUUUGGUAUCUUGCUGAUGUCAAAUAAAAUGUUAUAGUACUGGAGUGUUUAGGCAAUCACUGUAUUCCAAAAAACUAACAAGUCUAGUCCGGAUUUCUGCAAGACUUUAAUAGUCAAACCUGCUUAAGCUAGUCUUCUGUCUUGUGGUCCAUGCCAAUCUGCAAGUUUAAACUAGUAGCUGAGACAAGGGAUAAACUCUAUACUAUUGAACUUCAGUGUGUAUUUUACAAGUGGAUGGUGCUGUAAAUAAAGAUAAGGGUAAAUGGUUGACCUGAUGGAGACUUAGUGCUGUGGUCCAUGGUAGUGCCUGCCUCACUUUGUUAAACACUGACUCAGUGCACUGGACUCUAAUUUCUGAUCUCAGUUUCAUAGUCACCCCAGAUUUACAUCAAUCUAAUAACCUUAGGUUGAACUCCGUUACAUUAAAUGACCAGGGUGAAGUCCUGUUCUUGCACUAGCAUUAGCACAUGCAGCACUAACAUAGGAAGAACUCAUGAAUUUGGGGGGAAACAUAUAUGCAGGCAGUUGCGUGUUUUACACAGCCGGCAAUCUAGGAAUCUACACAAACUGAAAUAUGUUUUGAUAUAGAUGUUAGUACAGUUGACAUGUCUGAGGCUAAUGUGGACAGCAGCUAUACUUAGGGUGACAUCUGUCUCCUUUUUAACAGGACAGUCCCUUAUUUAAGCCCCCCUGCAUGUGUCUUGACUUUAGGGGGGAAAAAGUGGGCAAAUUGCCCUGUAUUUUCCACUCCAGUGUUCCCCCUGCUGGCCACUUGGCAUCAGCGCAGCUGCAGCAGUAUGGUGUU